ensembl:lincRNA 4930428N03Rik RIKEN cDNA 4930428N03 gene
GAUAUAGCACCUGGCCCAGGAAAGAUACAGCAGGGCCACAUGGGGCUUGGAUAGAAGCUUUUCUGAGGCCAGGAGGUAGGGCUAGAGCUGGAUUCUAAAUCAUAGGACUGUGAUUCGAGGAACCGCAGGGAGAGCAAAAGAAGACAGGACAGUAUCCUGUGUUUGUGGCCACAAGCAGAAGCCAGGUGAAGAUGUGGGGAAGACCCAAGAGGAGAACCUAGGCCUACCUAGUUACCAGGGACAAGGGACAAAUGAGCCACUCCAGCGCUUCGUGGAGAGAGGAAGCUGCCCACUGCCGACCACAUACAGCAGGCAGCUUUUCUCUUAUAGCUCUCGUGUUGCGUUUCUUAAUUUAAAAUGGGAAAUUCCG